rnacentral:rRNA from 1 species
AAAACUCCGGUGGUACAGGAUGGGCCCGCGUCUGAUUAGCCAGUUGGCAGGGUAACGGCCUACCAAAGCGACGAUCAGUAGCCGGCCUGAGAGGGUGAACGGCCACAUUGGGACUGAGACACGGCCCAAACUCCUACGGGAGGCAGCAGUGGGGAAUAUUGCACAAUGGGGGAAACCCUGAUGCAGCGACGCCGCGUGAAGGAAGAAGUAUUUCGGUAUGUAAACUUCUAUCAGCAGGGAAGAAAAUGACGGUACCUGACUAAGAAGCCCCGGCUAACUACGUGCCAGCAGCCGCGGUAAUACGUAGGGGGCAAGCGUUAUCCGGAUUUACUGGGUGUAAAGGGAGCGUAGGCGGUUCAGCAAGUCAGAAGUGAAAGCCCGGGGCUCAACUCCGGGACUGCUUUUGAAACUGUUGAACUAGAUUGCAGGAGAGGUAAGUGGAAUUCCUAGUGUAGCGGUGAAAUGCGUAGAUAUUAGGAGGAACACCAGUGGCGAAGGCGGCUUACUGGACUGUAAAUGACGCUGAGGCUCGAAAGCGUGGGGAGCAAACAGGAUUAGAUACCCUGGUAGUCCACGCCGUAAAC